GGGCUGUAACUGACGCUGAGGAGCGAAAGCAUGGGGAGCGAACAGGAUUAGAUACCCUGGUAGUCCAUGCCGUAAACGUUGGGCACUAGGUGUGGGGGACAUUCCACGUUUUUCCGCGCCGUAGCUAACGCAUUAAGUGCCCCGCCUGGGGAGUACGGCCGCAAGGCUAAAACUCAAAGGAAUUGACGGGGGCCCGCACAAGCGGCGGAGCAUGCGGAUUAAUUCGAUGCAACGCGAAGAACCUUACCAAGGCUUGACAUGAACCGGUAAUGCCUGGAAACAGGUGCCCCGCUUGCGGUCGGUUUACAGGUGGUGCAUGGUUGUCGUCAGCUCGUGUCGUGAGAUGUUGGGUUAAGUCCCGCAACGAGCGCAACCCUCGUUCUAUGUUGCCAGCGCGUGAUGGCGGGGACUCAUAGGAGACUGCCGGGGUCAACUCGGAGGAAGGUGGGGACGACGUCAAAUCAUCAUGCCCCUUAUGUCUUGGGCUUCACGCAUGCUACAAUGGCCGGUACAAAGGGUUGCGAUACUGUGAGGUGGAGCUAAUCCCAAAAAGCCGGUCUCAGUUCGGAUUGGGGUCUGCAACUCGACCCCAUGAAGUCGGAGUCGCU
rnacentral:rRNA from 1 species